rnacentral:rRNA from 1 species
CCCAAGAGAUCGGGAUAACACCUGGAAACAGAUGCUAAUACCGGAUAACAACAGAUGAUGCCUAUCAACUGUUUAAAAGAUGGUUCUGCUAUCACUCUUGGAUGGACCUGCGGUGCAUUAGCUAGUUGGUAGGGUAACGGCCUACCAAGGCGAUGAUGCAUAGCCGAGUUGAGAGACUGAUCGGCCACAUUGGGACUGAGACACGGCCCAAACUCCUACGGGAGGCAGCAGAA